GAUGAACGCUAGCGGCAGGCCUAAUACAUGCAAGUCGAACGGUGUCUUCGGACAUAGUGGCGCACGGGUGCGUAACACGUAUGCAACCUACCUUACAUUGGGGGAUAGCCUUUCGAAAGGGAGAUUAAUACCGCAUAAGACAGUAGUCUGGCAUCAGACAGCUGUUAAAGAUUUAUCGAUGUAAGCUGGGCAUGCGACCAAUUAGUUAGUUGGCGAGGUAAUGGCUCACCAAGACUAUGAUUGGUAGGGGAACUGAGAGGUCAAUCCCCCACACUGGCACUGAGAUACGGGCCAGACUCCUACGGGAGGCAGCAGUAGGGAAUAUUGGGCAAUGGACGCAAGUCUGACCCAGCCAUGCCGCGUGCAGGAAGAAGGCGUUAUGCGUUGUAAACUGCUUUUAUACAGGAAGAAACGACUCUUGCGAGAGGCAUUGACGGUACUGUAUGAAUAAGCACCGGCUAACUCCGUGCCAGCAGCCGCGGUAAUACGGAGGGUGCAAGCGUUGUCCGGAUUUAUUGGGUUUAAAGGGUGCGCAGGUGGUUUAUUAAGUCAGUGGUGAAAGACGGUCGCUCAACGAUUGCAGUGCCAUUGAAACUGGUAGACUUGAGUAAAGUAGAGGUGGGCGGAAUUGAUAGUGUAGCGGUGAAAUGCAUAGAUAUUAUCAAGAACUCCAAUUGCGUAGGCAGCUCACUUGGCUUUUACUGACACUCAUGCACGAAAGUGUGGGUAUCAAACAGGAUUAGAUACCCUGGUAGUCCACACUGUAAACGAUGAUAACUAGGUGUCGGCCGAAUCUGGUCGGUGCCACAGCGAAAGCGUUAAGUUAUCCACCUGGGGAGUACGCCGGCAACGGUG
rnacentral:rRNA from 1 species